AUUGAACGCUAGCGGGAUGCUUUACACAUGCAAGUCGAACGGAAUGGCGGACGUGUGAGUAAUAUAUCUGAACGUGCUCAGUCGCGGGGGAUAACUACUCGAAAUAGUGGCUAAUACCGCAUAAUAUUCGUGCGGCCGAUAUCGGAUUAGCUAGUUGGUGGGGUAAAGGCUCACCAAGGCAACGAUCCGUAGCUGGUUUGCGAGGAUGACCAGCCACACUGGGACUGAGACACGGCCCAGACUCCUACGGGAGGCAGCAGUGGGGAAUUUUGGACAAUGGGGGAAACCCUGAUCCAGCCAGCCCGCGUGUAUGAUGAAGGCCUUCGGGUUGUAAAGUACUUUUGGCAGAGAAGCGGUAUCUGCAGAAUAAGCACCGGCUAACUACGUGCCAGCCGCCGCGGUAAUUC
rnacentral:rRNA from 1 species